UACGUAGGGCGCAAGCGUUGUCCGGAAUUAUUGGGCGUAAAGAGCUCGUAGGCGGCUUGUCACGUCGGAUGUGAAAUCCCGAGGCUCAACCUCGGGUCUGCAUCCGAUACUGCCCGGCUAGAGGUAGGUAGGGGAGAUCGGAAUUCCUGGUGUAGCGGUGAAAUGCGCAGAUAUCAGGAGGAACACCGGUGGCGAAGGCGGAUCUCUGGGCCUUACCUGACGCUCAGGCGCGAAAGCUAGGGGAGCGAACUGG
rnacentral:rRNA from 1 species